GAAUCUCUUUUAGAGAUGAGUGGCGAACGGGUGAGUAAUACAUAGGUAACCUGCCCCUGUGCGGGGGAUAACAGGAGGAAACUCCUGCUAAUACCGCAUAGCCAUGAGCACCGCAUGGAGCUCAUGCCAAAUAUCCUUUAUGGGAUAGCGCAGGGAUGGACCUAUGKCGCAUUAGCUGGUUGGCGGGGCAACGGCCCACCAAGGCAACGAUGCGUAGCCGGCCUGAGAGGGCGGACGGCCACAUUGGGACUGUGACACGGCCCAGACUCCUACGGGAGGCAGCAGUAGGGAAUUUUCGGCAAUGGGGGAAACCCUGACCGAGCAACGCCGCGUGAGCGAAGAAGGCCUUCGGGUCGUAAAGCUCUGUUGUAAAGGAAGAACGGCGCAUACAGGAAAUGGUAUGCGAGUGACGGUACUUUACCAGAAAGCCACGGCUAACUACGUGCCAGCAGCCGCGGUAAUACGUAGGUGGCGAGCGUUAUCCGGAAUCAUUGGGCGUAAAGAGGGAGCAGGCGGCCGCAAGGGUCUGUGGUGAAAGACCGAAGCUAAACUUCGGUAAGCCAUGGAAACCGGGCGGCUAGAGUGCGGAAGAGGAUCGUGGAAUUCCAUGUGUAGCGGUGAAAUGCGUAGAUAUAUGGAGGAACACCAGUGGCGAAGGCGACGGUCUGGGCCGCAACUGACGCUCAUUCCCGAAAGCGUGGGGAGCAAAUAGGAUUAGAUACCCUAGUAGUCCACGCCGUAAACGAUGGUCACUAAGUGUCGGGGGUCAAACCCCGGUGCUGCAGUCAACGCAAUAAGUGACCCGCCU
rnacentral:rRNA from 1 species